GGUCAGAUGGGAUUAACGGGAUCCGUGGAAUGAAGACAUCCUCACCCUUAGAUUUUCCGGUGAUAAUUGCUGUUUCUAGGACAUGGGGUUGCAUUGCUUUCACCACCAGACUGGUGCCAUUGCACAGGCGAGGUGGAUCCAAGUUCCUGAGCAGCAUGAUAGGGGCCCCCCUUUUUAAGUGUUAAAUAGUGAGGUGGCA